GCUAGAUAGCUCAGUUGGUAGAGCAAAGGACUGAAAAUCCUUGUGUCCCUGGUUCGAUUCCAGGUCUAGC
rnacentral:tRNA from 1 species